UAAUGAACAUUUUCUUUAUUUACAGCAUCAUUUUGUUCAUGAAAUAUUAAAAAAUACACUCAGUUUACUGUCAUAUGUGACAAAGAAGCAGCACAAUCCUCAAACUGGAGAAUGUUUGGACCUUUACUUAACGACUGACACAAUUAAUACAUUAUUAAAAUGACACCAGACGUGACUGAAGUUGUUGUUUACUGUCUGUCAGCUGGUGGUUUGAUGCAGGAGAACAGCACUGAAACACUGGAUCUUUUACUAUCAGCAGGUGUUUACUGUACCUGGGCAGAGCAGCUAGACUGAGCACGCUGUCCUGGACUAACGGGUUACUGGACAGAUUCAGAUUCUUCAGAGACUGCAGGACUCCGACCGGCCUAUCCUCCAGCUGUGGCCACAUGGGGGCGCAAUCCAGGACCUGGACCAGGAGCAACGGAGAAACAUCAAUGAGAGAAGAGUGUUAAACAGACCUUUAAGUGAUUUAACUUUUAUGUCAAAAGUUCUAAAGAGAUAUAUUUCUUAAAAACAAUUUAAAAAAAUAUACAUAUAAAAUAUUUUAAAACGUU